UCCUCCUUCUCUCCACUCUCAGAGAUGGAUGUCUCCAAACUCUUCCUGUUCAAUCAUCCUACUACUUGUCCACUUGAUCCAAUCCCCACUCACCUCCUUCAAGUGAUCUCUUCUUCAGUCAUACCUGCGCUUACUCACGUUAUCAACUCCCUUUUCACUCUGGAACAUUUCCCUCAGCAUUCAAGCAGGCUCGGGUAAGCCCACUGCUGAAGAAACCAUCUCUAAAUCCAAUGCUUCUUGAAAACUACAGACCAGUAUCACUUCUUCCAUUCAUUGCAAAGACACUUCAACCAGCUUUCUAUGUUCCUUGUACAUGUGGCAGGAUGGCUAGAUCCUCUUAUAUUGGUUGUUAGGAUUGUUGGCCUAUCAGUAGUUAUGGGUUAGCAUAUAAAAGGUGGAGCUGUGUCACAAGGAUGUGUUACUCUUAGGUGCCCUGCCCCUUUCUGGUACCAGUGUUUACACUGUUGUUAGCAGUGUGGCUAUCUUGGUCACGGCUAACUUAGGGUUCUUUUUGUGCAUCUAUCCAAAAGCAGCAUGAAGUCAAUUGGUUAAUGUUGCGACCUGUGUUUGGUCAGACUGCUUACUCUGCAGUUUGUUUCUGCCCACUCCUGUCUCCCACACCAUCGUGUACAUUGUUUAUGGUUCUGCUUUUGUGUGACAUAUGGCUGCAUUUUUCCAGUUUCUAUCAACAACUUCUGGUUCAGAUUCGGUUCAGUGCUCGUGCUGGCCCUGUCCAUUUAACGUGGCUGAGGUGCUCGUGCGUUGGAGGGUUCCUGCUGUAGUGCAGGACUCUGAACAUCAGUAUUAAGAGGUGUUGCUGUCUUGUUCCCAGUUUGUUUGUUUGUGCAUUUGUUUCCUUUUUUGUAUUUCCUUUCUUGGAUGGCUCAUAUUGUCCUCUAUGUACUCAAUGUGGAAGGCCAGAUGCUUUUAAUUAUUUAAAUUUAUUAUUUGAUUGUUAAUUUAUUUUGAGCCCAGUGUGUAUUUCAUUUUUUAUUAUUAUUUUUUUUUUUUAGUUUGUUAAUAUCUUUAUUCUCUUGUGAACGUUUUGUUUGGAAUUGUAAACUGUCUUCCUUUUUUGUUUUUGUUUUUUAUCGGGUUUGUUCAUUUAUAGGUGCUGUGGGUCAAACCCCAAAAGGGCAGGGAGGCAGAUUUCCACACACGUGCGGUGGUGGUGCUAUCUUGUCACCGUGUGCAGUGUUGUGGCAUGUCGAUCACCAACCAAAAUCUCACUUGGUAUAGAGUGUGUGUGAAUGGGUGCACCGAUAGUGUGUGAUAAUUGCAUUUUGUGAUUCUUUAGGAGUUGAUUCCAGCUGAAAACAGCCCUGUAAAUCUUUACACUUUUUGUGUUAUCAGCAACAAGUAACCAAGCAUUAAGUGUGCCAGCGCUCAUGUGAUUUCACUUUUUUUUGUAAUUUAUUAUUUGGAUUAAUAAAGCUUUGUA